CUUCAAACUUUUUAGGUAUAAGCCCACCAUAUAUUUCUUGUGCAGGGACAAACGUAGCUGCUUCCGGUGGUGGAAAAAUUUUCUGAAGCUCCAAGUUUGGAUUCUAGACUCGAAAAUAUUGUCAGCAGCCAAGCCUAUUAACCAUUUGAUCGUGUUAAAGGUGAUGAUGCCAUUGGCAAGAGAGCUGGACCCAGGGAUCAGUAGCUGUAUAUGUCUCAAUGAUCAUGUUUCCAGAUUCGUAUCCCCUCAAGAAUUCCAAGUCCUUUUGUACAAUAAAGCAUAUAGAAAGGGAGGACUUUGCCAAUGUAUCCAGCAGCCAUUCAACCAGCAGAAGAGGGUAGCUACAUUGAACCUAUAUAUGCAGUCAAUUUGUGGAGAACAAUGAUUUUUUGUCCACUUCAUCCCCUAUAUUUCUAAUGUUUCAUAAGGAAAAAAUUGGUAUAUUUUGUGUUAACAUCACAUAUUUGUUCAAAACCAACUUGAUUU